rnacentral:rRNA from 1 species
CAAAAACAUCUUUUCUUGUUAGUUUUUGAAGUAUGGCCUGCCCACUGACUAUUGGUUGAAGGGCCGCGGUAUUUUGACCGUGCAAAGGUAGCAUAAUCAUUAGUUCUUUAAUUGUGAUCUGGUAUGAAUGGCUUGACGAGACAUUAGCUGUCUUAUGGGUAUGGUUUUGUUGAAUUUAGUUUUUGAGUUAAAAUUCUUAGAUGUUUUUAUGGGACGAGAAGACCCUAUAGAGUUUGACACGUUGCUUUAGCUUUAUUUAUGUAGUUUGUUUUGAUUUAUUUAAGUUAGGUUAGGUGUUUUGUUGGGGUGAUGAGAGGAAUGUCUUUAACUCCUCUUUGUUUUUAUAUAUUUAUUUAUAUUUGUUUGAUCCACUUAUUUUGAUUAUAAGAUUAAAUUACCUU